CAGUUUUGUGGGUUCCCUUUGUAGCUCUUUGCAGUUUGUCUGGGACUUAACUAUCUUUAGUAAUUUUGUGUCUGCGAAUUUUGCCACCUCGCGGUUUACCCCUUUUUGCAGAUCUUUUGUACAUCUGUCCCAGUACAGAUCCCUGAGGGACCUCGCUGUUUACCUCUGUCCAUUCUGAACCCUGAAUGGAGAUCAGGAGUACAUGAAGGAUCUGAGCCUUCCAAUCAUCUCUGCUCCUGACACAGCCAGGAGAAAGCGCAGAAGGGCCGGAGAAGAAUGACUUCAAACAGCCCUGCAGAGAGAGAACCUCCGGCAGAGAUGAGCUCGCUCAGCGAGGAACUCGCCAAAGAGCACGUGCCUUGGAGCGACUCCACCGAAUUACAGCAUUUUGUUCUCCAGGAACCAGUAUUUCAUUCUUUUCCGAGCUCGAGUUUAGUCCUGGAUUUCCAAUGGACAACUUGGGGUUUGGGGCAUCGGGUUGGAAAUACAUGAGCUCCCCCUUGGUGCCAGCGGCAAGAAAGUGAAGCAAUUUUAGAGAGUUGGUGCUUCCCAUCGCUGGGUGCCAGCUGGGGCAGAUCCACCAGCGUCUCCUUUAUGCAAAUAAGCUGUAAAAAUACCUCUGGAGAAACUGCUUGCGGCAUUAAUGCUCUCCCGGGGCAUUCCGCUUGGAGCUGAUUAAUCACAGCGGCACAGGCCUGCUGGCAUUUGGUUUGAAAUGGGCCGAGUCGACAGUGCAGCAAGGGAAGAAAUGAACCACAGGGAGGGAAGUAAUUGGAGAAAAUGGGGGGAGGAAUUUGAGCAGGGGUAGCAAAGUCCUGUUGAUUCAGAAGGAAGCGGAUUAGCACAGCUGGGGCCGGGGGCAGCCCAGGGCUGGGAUAGCAGUGAGGCCUGGGGUCGGGACUGAGGGGUUCUGGCAGAGCAGGGAGCUCAGGGCUGGGGGACCCUGGCAGAGCGGGGAGCUUGGGGCUGGGAGAGCAGUGAGGCCGGGGGUCGGGACUGAGGGAUCCUGGCAGAGCAGGGAGCUCAGGGCUAGGGGACCCUGGCAGAGUGGGGAGCUUGGGGCUGGGAGAGCAGUGAGGUCAGGGGUUGGGAUUAAGGGGCCCUGGCAGAGCGGGGAGUACAGGGCUGGGGUAGCAGUGAGGCCGGGGGUCGGGACUGGGUGUCCUGGAAGAGCAGGGAGCUUGGGGCUGGUGGGGUCUUGGCAGAGCAGGAAGCUCAGAGCUGGGAGAGCAGUGAGGUUGGGACUGAGGGGCCCUGGCAGAGUGGGGAGCUUGGGGCUGGGAGAGCAGUGAGGCCGGGGAUCAGGACUGAGGGGUCCUGGCAGAGCAGGGAGCUCAGGGCUGGGGGGCCUGGCAGAGCGGGGAGCUUGGGGCUGGGAGAGCAGUGAGGCCGGGGGUUGGGAUUAAGGGGCCCUGGCAGAGCAGGGAGCUCAGGGCUGGGG